CUUCGUUUUAAACGUCUUUUAUUCGUGUUUCUAGGUCACAAAAUGAACUUUUAAGAUAUUUUCAGGCGAGAAUGUAGGUGUGUAAACUUCAAAUAUCUGCUCGUUUUGUCAAAACAUCCCAUAUUAUAUCUGACGAUGUUGCCGGCUAACUAGCUAGCGUGGCUAGCGACCCUUCGAGCACCCGGGCUUGCCUUCAGUGAGACUGCUGACCAUCACCUGUUCGCUCGCCAACAGACUGUCUUAGCUACAACAGAGAGCAGCUAUCUACCGGUGUGUGUCAGAAAAACAUGCGGGAACGAGACAUAGGAGGCGGCGAGGGGACCGCCGAUCGACCGGUGGUAGAUCGUGGAUCAGGCAAACCUAAGGCAGGAGCGUGAGGUGAACUGAAUUUCAGCUACAACAGAGAGCAGCUAUCUACCGGUGUGUGUCAGAAAAACAUGCGGGAACGAGACAUAGGAGGCGGCGAGGGGACCGCCGAUCGACCGGUGGUAGAUCGUGGAUCAGGCAAACCUAAGGCAGGAGCGUGAGGUGAACUGAAUUUCAGGUAAGAAGUUAUGAAUUGCACAGGAGUUUCUAUAGAGCUGUGUGCGCGCUA